rnacentral:rRNA from 1 species
UACGGAGGGUGCAAGCGUUAUCCGGAUUCACUGGGGUUAAAGGGUGCGUAGGUUGAUUGGUAAGUCAGUGGUGAAAUACUCCGACUCAAUCGGAGAACUGCCGUUGAUACUAUCAAUCUUGAAUACGGUGGAGGCGGGCGGAAUGCGUCAUGUAGUGGUGAAAUACUUAGAUAUGACGCAGAACACCCAUUGCGAAGGCAGCUCGCUACACCGGCAUUGACACUGAGGCACGAAAGCGUGGGGAGCAAACAGG